rnacentral:misc_RNA from 1 species
AAAGUCGUAACAAGGUCUCCGUUGGUGAACCAGCGGAGGGAUCAUUACAGAGUUGCAAAACUCCCAACCCUUUGUGAACGAACCUACCAGUUGCUUCGGCGGAAAGUCCUUCAGAGGGCAGCCCGCCGAAGGUCUACAAACUCUUGUUUUUUUGGCAUCUCUGAGUAGCUUAUAAAAUAAGUUAAAACUUUCAACAACGGAUCUCUUGGUUCUG